GUGGGGAAUCUUGCGCAAUGGGCGAAAGCCUGACGCAGCCAUGCCGCGUGAAUGAUGAAGGUCUUAGGAUUGUAAAAUUCUUUCACCGGGGACGAUAAUGACGGUACCCGGAGAAGAAGCUCCGGCUAACUUCGUGCCAGCAGCCGCGGUAAUACGAAGGGGGCUAGCGUUGCUCGGAAUUACUGGGCGUAAAGGGCGCGUAGGCGGACAGCUUAGUCAGAGGUGAAAGCCCAGGGCUCAACCUUGGAAUUGCCUUUGAUACUGGCUGUCUUGAGUUUGGGAGAGGUGAGUGGAACUCCGAGUGUAGAGGUGAAAUUCGUAGAUAUUCGGAAGAACACCGGUGGCGAAGGCGACUCACUGGCCCAAUACUGACGCUGAGGCGCGAAAGCGUGGGGAGCAAACAGGAUUAGAUACCCCAGUAGUCC
rnacentral:rRNA from 1 species